GCGUUUAAAGGGCAAAGCCAUUGAAAGAUGGUGACGCAAAGCUAAAGGGUCUUAAUCACAUACGUGAAAGACAGCCAGUUGCUGGU
rnacentral:ncRNA from 1 species